rnacentral:lncRNA from 1 species
UUUCUAUGGUCUUAUGGGUUGGAUUAUUGUAAGGCAAAUUGGGGCUGUGUUUGCACUUUUAGAUUUAAGAUCAGUGUUUGUAGAGGGGGAAGAGAGAGUAUGUGUAGUUUGGGAUAGAUUGGUGAUGUAGGGAGGAGCAUUUUAAAAUUUUCCUUAAUUUAGUUCCCAAUUCUGCUUAUAAAAUGCUCUUUUCCUCCAAUAUUUCACCCAUUUUCUAGUUUAUAGUCUUAAACCUGUUGCUUUAGUAGGUAUGUGAUUAAUUGGGAAAUAAUUGUGGAUUUGGAUAUUGGACUUAGUAUUGUUAUUAUUAUUUCAGUUGGGCUUUAAUAUAUGCAUUGGUUUGGGCCUUGGAUAUUUAACUUAUUGAGUUAGGGCUUUUGGUUAAUUUUGGGUAUUAUUAAUGUUAAAUUUGCAUUUAUUUGAUUUUAAUAUUGUGUAAAUUUUGGGUUGUUUUGAUAAUUGUAUUUAGACUUUGGGUUAAUUUGGAUAUUGGGUAUAUUUGGUUAAUUUAAAUAUUGUGUGUGAAUUUUGGGGUUAAUUUGAAUGUUGAUUUGAAUAUUGUGUUUAAGUUUUUGGUUAAUUUGAAUAUUGUGUGUAAAGGGGUUGGAUUUAGAUGAUUUUGGGAUUUUAUUUUGAAUGAUUUAAUUUUAAGUUAACAUGUUUUUAAUUUGUAUUGAUUAAUUAUUGUGUAUUGAAUUUGUAUUUUAAUUUGAAAUAUUAAAUUUGGGCCUAAUUAUUUUCAUUUUUUAGAUUUGGGCUUUGAAUAAUUGUAUGGACUUUUGGGCUUGGACAUUUUUAUUGAAUAUUGGGUUGAGAUAUUUAUAUUGGAUGUUGGGCUUGGAUAUUGUUAUUAUUAUUUGAUUUGGACUUUGGGCAUUUAUAUUGGAUAGUGGGUUUGGGUAUUGUUAUUAUUAUUUGAUUUGGGCUUGAACAUUUGUAUUGUAUAUUGGGCUUGUCGGGUUUGAAUAUUUAUAUUGGUUAUUUGGGCUUGGAACUCAUUACUAUUUCAUGUGGGCUUUGGAUAUUUGUAUGGAAUUUUGGAUAUUGGGCUUGAACAUUUAUAUUAGAUAUUGGGCUUGGGUUAUUAUUGUAGCUUUUGGACUGUGGACAUUUGCAUUGUGCCUUAGGCAUUUAAUAAAAAUAGGAUGAGAGUUAGACAUUUAAAUUUUAUUUGAAUGUAUUCAUGGAACUUUCAUUUAUUCAAUUAAUUGUAUCUCACACAAUUUGACUUUCCUUGUUUGUAGAAAAAGAGUUGGAAUUACAAAGGCAAACUAAUGCUAGAAAGUGCUCAAGCCUUCAUAGAGGUUGAAAUAUGAACAUAACUAUGAGGCUCGAGAUUUGGAUAUAUCAAGAGU